UACGUAGGGUGCGAGCGUUGUCCGGAAUUAUUGGGCGUAAAGAGCUCGUAGGCGGCUUGUCGCGUCGGAUGUGAAAGCCCGGGGCUUAACUCCGGGUCUGCAUUCGAUACGGGCAGGCUAGAGUUCGGUAGGGGAGAUCGGAAUUCCUGGUGUAGCGGUGAAAUGCGCAGAUAUCAGGAGGAACACCGGUGGCGAAGGCGGAUCUCCGGGCCGAUACUGACGCUGAGGAGCGAAAGCGUGGGGAGCGAACAGG
rnacentral:rRNA from 1 species